rnacentral:rRNA from 1 species
AGGGUUUGAUCCUGGCUCAGAAUCAACGCUGGCGGCGUGCCUAACACAUGCAAGUCGAACGCGAAAGGGGAGCAAUCCCUGAGUAGAGUGGCAAACGGGUGAGUAACACGUGGGUGACCUGCCUUCGAGUGGGGGAUAACGUCCCGAAAGGGGCGCUAAUACCGCAUGACAUCCUGCUCUUGGACGAGCGGAGAUCAAAGCUAGGGAUCGCAAGACCUGGCGCUUGAAGAGGGGCCCGCGCCUGAUUAGCUAGUUGGUGAGGUAACGGCUCACCAAGGCGACGAUCAGUAUCCGGCCUGAGAGGGCGGACGGACACACUGGGACUGAGACACGGCCCAGACUCCUACGGGAGGCAGCAGUGGGGAAUUGUUCGCAAUGGGCGCAAGCCUGACGACGCAACGCCGCGUGGAGGAUGAAGAUCUUCGGGUCGUAAACUCCUGUCGAAUGGGAAGAACGGUUCGCGAAUGAAUAAGUCGCGAAAGUGACGGUACCAUUAAAGGAAGCCCCGGCUAACUCCGUGCCAGCAGCCGCGGUAAUACGGGGGGGGCAAGCGUUGUUCGGAAUUACUGGGCGUAAAGGGCUCGUAGGUGGCCAACUAAGUCAGACGUGAAAUCCCCAGGCUCAACUUGGGAACUGCGUCUGAUACUGGAUGGCUUGAAUUCGGGAGAGGGAUGCAGAAUUCCAGGUGUAGCGGUGAAAUGCGUAGAUAUCUGGAGGAAUACCGGUGGCGAAGGCGGCAUCCUGGACCGAGAUUGACACUGAUGAGCGAAAGCUAGGGGAGCAAACGGGAUUAGAUACCCCGGUAGUCCUAGCCCUAAAC